GCACUGCUGACGGGUGCCAAACAGGACGAAACAGCUGUUCAGUGC
rnacentral:hammerhead_ribozyme from 1 species